rnacentral:rRNA from 1 species
UACGAAGGGUGCAAGCGUUGUUCGGAUUUAUUGGGCGUAAAGCGCGCGCAGGCGGAUCUGCAAGUCAGGUGUGAAAUCUCGGGGCUCAACCCCGAAAGUGCGCCUGAAACUGCAAAUCUAGAAUGCCGGAGAGGGAAGGGGAAUUUCUCAUGUAGGGGUAAAAUCCGUAGAUAUGAGAAGGAACACCAGAGGCGAAGGCGCCUUCCUGGACGGAUAUUGACGCUGAGGCGCGAAAGCGUGGGGAGCAAACAGG